AUAUGAUGUCAUAAUGCGCACUUCAUAUAGAGUAUGUGGGCUGAGUGAGUGGAUGUGUGUUGUGUUCUCGGACUGAGGAAGACCUCAGACCUCCUUACCAAGCACCAGUCGGCAUCUAUAGGAAGGAGAUCUUAUAUCCGAGUUUCUCCUGUAGCCACUGACUGUUGCAGACAGAAGACAUCCUACGGAUAAAGAAAGCUGUCACAGACUUUCAUGGGACACCU